ACCUUGUGGCANANGGNAUGGGCCNNGAGGGGCAUUAGNUUAGUNUGGUGGGGAAAANGGCCCACCAAAGGGACGAUGNGUAGCCGACCUGAGAGGGUGAUCGGCCACACUGGGANUGAGACACGGCCCAGACUCNUACGGGAGGCAGCAGUAGGGAAUCUUCCACAAUGGGCGCAAGCCUGACGGAGCAACGCCGCGUGAGUGAUGAAGGUUUUCGGAUCGUAAAGCUCUGUUGCCAAGGCAAGAACGCCUCGGAGAGUAACUGCUCUGAGGGUGACGGUACUUGAGAAGAAAGCCCCGGCUAACUACGUGCCAGCAGCCGCGGUAAUACGUAGGGGGCAAGCGUUGUCCGGAAUUAUUGGGCGUAAAGCGCGCGCAGGCGGUCUUUUAAGUUUGGUGUUUAAGCCCGGGGCUCAACCCCGGUUCGCACUGAAAACUGGGAGACUUGAGUGCANGACANGANUCCCGAAUUCCCCCUGUNUCCGGUNAAAUNCCUNCACAUNUGGAUGACUCCCCNUNGCUACGGCGGCCUUCUGGACCCU
rnacentral:rRNA from 1 species